AUGAACGCUGGCGGCGUGCCUAAUACAUGCAAGUCGCGCGAACGGACGAGAAGCUUGCUUCUCUGAUGUUAGCGGCGGACGGGUGAGUAACACGUGGAUAACCUACCUAUAAGACUGGGAUAACUUCGGGAAACCGGAGCUAAUACCGGAUAAUAUUUUGAACCGCAUGGUUCAAAAGUGAAAGACGGUCUUGCUGUCACUUAUAGAUGGAUCCGCGCUGCAUUAGCUAGUUGGUAAGGUAACGGCUUACCAAGGCAACGAUGCAUAGCCGACCUGAGAGGGUGAUCGGCCACACUGGAACUGAGACACGGUCCAGACUCCUACGGGAGGCAGCAGUAGGGAAUCUUCCGCAAUGGGCGAAAGCCUGACGGAGCAACGCCGCGUGAGUGAUGAAGGUCUUCGGAUCGUAAAACUCUGCUAUUAGGGAAGAACAUAUGUGUAAGUAACUGUGCACAUCUUGACGGUACCUAAUCAGAAAGCCACGGCUAACUACGUG
rnacentral:rRNA from 1 species